rnacentral:rRNA from 1 species
CCUACGGGCGGCAGCAGUGGGGAAUAUUGGACAAUGGGGGGAACCCUGAUCCAGCCAUGCCGCGUGUGUGAAGAAGGCCCUCGGGUUGUAAAGCACUUUCAGUGAGGAAGAACGCCUGGUGGUUAAUACCCAUCAGGAAAGACAUCACACACAGAAGAAGCACCGGCUAACUCCGUGCCAGCAGCCGCGGUAAUACGGAGGGUGCGAGCGUUAAUCGGAAUUACUGGGCGUAAAGCGCGCGUAGGUGGCUUGAUAAGCCGGUUGUGAAAGCCCCGGGCUCAACCUGGGAACGGCAUCCGGAACUGUCAAGCUAGAGUGCAGGAGAGGAAGGUAGAAUUCCCGGUGUAGCGGUGAAAUGCGUAGAGAUCGGGAGGAAUACCAGUGGCGAAGGCGGCCUUCUGGACUGACACUGACACUGAGGUGCGAAAGCGUGGGUAGCAAACAGGAUUAGAUACCCUAGUAGUC